rnacentral:ncRNA from 21 species
CAAUAGAAUUACGCAAGAGGUGCCUGUGAAAUUCUCCGCAGGAUAAUAGGGAAAAGGGUGAAAGUCCCUUACGGUCCCGCCGCUGUAAAAGAGGAGCAGGGCUCAAUAGAUCACUGGGUAACCGGGAAGAUGAGCUGCUGUGUAGAACCUUGAGUCAGAAGACCUGCCUGUUGCGAUACGAUGCGU